rnacentral:rRNA from 1 species
UACGUAGGGUGCAAGCGUUAAUCGGAAUUACUGGGCGUAAAGCGUGCGCAGGCGGUUUUGUAAGUCUGACGUGAAAUCCCCGGGCUCAACCUGGGAAUUGCGUUGGAGACUGCAAGGCUAGAAUCUGGCAGAGGGGGGUAGAAUUCCACGUGUAGCAGUGAAAUGCGUAGAGAUGUGGAGGAACACCGAUGGCGAAGGCAGCCCCCUGGGUCAAGAUUGAAGCUCAUGCACGAAAGCGUGGGGAGCAAACAGG